UACGUGGGGUGCGAGCGUUGUCCGGAAUUACUGGGCGUAAAGAGCUCGUAGGUGGUUUGUCGCGUCGUCUGUGAAAUUCCGGGGCUCAACCUCGGGCGUGCAGGCGAUACGGGCAUAACUUGAGUGCUGUAGGGGAGACUGGAAUUCCUGGUGUAGCGGUGAAAUGCGCAGAUAUCAGGAGGAACACCGAUGGCGAAGGCGGGUCUCUGGGCAGUAACUGACGCUGAGGAGCGAAAGCGUGGGGAGCAAACAGG
rnacentral:rRNA from 1 species